rnacentral:misc_RNA from 1 species
GGAUUCACUCAAAAAAGACUAGGCUGAAUCUUCUGCCUAUUCUUCGCGGGUGCCCUAUUUUAGACUGGACUUAAUCUUAGAGUUCUAACUCUUAAUUAAAAAGCGCCCUUUACUUUAAUUCAAAUAAAGACCAGGGAAAUAAAAGCUUAAAGCAAAGUUAGCUAUUCUUACUUCUGGCCUUACUUCACCCAUGAACGGUAAUGCCCCGAAUCCCUUUAUUCAUCUUAAACUGAAGGAACGCAUUAUUCAAUUUCAAUUAAAAUUGGGACUAGUUCAGUACCAUCCUCGCCCCCGUGGAGGAAAUAGCUUAAUUAGAGUUAUUUAAAGACUGGCGCCAUCUCCGCCCCUUAUUAUAAUUAUGAGUCAGGCCUUUUUUCAUCUUCAAGCACUCUUUCCGCGUAUGCAAAGGUUAAAAUCAAAGUCGGAGGCUGGGACCAUUCCGCUUCUGCAAGUGUGCCACGAUACUUGCACGUGCUUGGGCACGAAUAUCCUCUGCUUUCGAACAAUAGCAAGUCGACCUUAUUGAUCUCUGGAACUAGCUACCAGCUCGUCCACAGAAAUGUUCCCUAGCUAAUCCAUCGCCCUUCUCAUUCCUAGCCGCAGCUGCUCUUGCGCCGAAGAUGUGGACUUCACUGCUUGUUGUGUGCUCUGACUCAGUCCUAGUGAAAACUAUAAGACUAAAGGAGAGGUAUGGUAGCCGAGUCUUUGAAUCUCUUUCCAAACCAACUCUGUUCUGAUAGUAAGGCUAACCUAACUUCAUAUCUGUUGAAUGCACUGCUUAUUCUAUUGUUAUAGGAGCUCCU